AUUGAACGCUGGCGGCAGGCCUAACACAUGCAAGUCGAACGAGUGGCGGACGGGUGAGUAAUGUCUGGGAAACUGCCCGAUGGAGGGGGAUAACUACUGGAAACGGUAGCUAAUACCGCAUACCAUCGGAUGUGCCCAGAUGGGAUUAGCUAGUAGGUGGGGUAACGGCUCACCUGGGCGACGAUCCAUAGCUGGUCUAAGAGGAGGACCAGCCACAUGGGAACUGAGACAGGGUCCAGACUCAUAGGGGAGGCAGAAGGGGGGAAUAUUGCACAAGGGGGGCAAGCCUGAUGCAGCCAUGCCGCGUGUAUGAAGAAGGCCUGCGGGUUGUAAAGUACUUUCAGCGAGGAGGGGUUACUCGCAGAAGAAGCACCGGCUAACUCCGUGCCAGCAGCCGCGGUAAUG
rnacentral:rRNA from 1 species